CGCUAACGAGCAAUACGGUCUUGCUAGCUUCCCUCGUGUAGGAGCAUCAUAUGACUAUUGCAACCGAGGGGGUGCAGGGAGUGUUUGUGUUUCUGUCCUGAAUCACAGCGCUAAUGUUUGUGGGAAGCUGAAACCGAUGCAUCAAUUUAUUUUGGUGGAGAGAUGAGCAAUCACUUGUUUCCUAGGAAACAUGGGGCUGUGCAUAUGCAGCUUCGAAUGUGCGCCCUAAUGUUUUCCUUCAUGUAGAUAGAGUAGAAAGUUUGUCCGAUGAGAUCCGUUGUGCUUAAAACAGAAGGGAAAAUAAAUUUGGAAAGUUGCACUAUUUAAAAAAAAGUAAUGAUACUGCCAGUCGUAAGAAAAAGGCAGAAAUAAUUCAAGAAAAUAACAAAAAUGUCCUUUCUGUGUCUCUCAUCUAGGAAUCUCGAGAUUUUUAUAGUUGUAGAGCCAUCUGCUAAGUUUCAUUUAUUGUGCAACUUUGCUACCUCACCAUCAUCUGCUCAUUAAUCUGCCUUUUUUAGGUCUACUUCUGAAAUUCUCAACCUCUGAGCAUCUGUCAAAUAGAUACCAUUGUUUUUAAAGCAGUAGUAUGAUGCAGUGUGAAGAUUAAUAUGGUAAAUCAUCUUGUGUGAUGGCAAUGUUACUCAGCAAAAGCUUAGCCAUUCAUAAGAUGCUCACCUCAAGCUCGCCACUAAACCACUUCCACCACACCCUGGCUCUUUGUAUUUCUGCCUAGAAGAGUAAAUAAGACAUAACCUGUGGUGUUGUGCGCUGUGUUUCAAAAUGUCUUGGACUGCAUGGCAGCAUUUGCUACUCCUAGGAUCUGAGCAGCGCGCUUGGGCAGCGAUUGCCAGAAAGGACUGAGGAUCAUUAGCACAGAUCACUGACCCCAGCAGGAGUUUUACCAUCGACUCAAAUGCCUGAGACUUGGAUCAAGGUCAGGGAGUUCUGGAUGUUGGACCUAGCUUCAGUGCUUCAAUACGGCGUUUUCAGACCUGGCUGUUCUGCUGUAGCCUGCACACACAUUGCUGAGAUGGGGGGGAGCCUUAAUGUCCACAUUCCUGACAGAUGUGAAGGAUUCACUAUAUCUUGUCCCGCAUCCUUCAGAGGUAGCAGAAUGGCUCGUUCUUCGUGUUUAUUGCUAACAGGAACAGGAGAGAACUCAUCUGGCUGUGGUGCAGGCCUGACAGGCAGUUACAGAUGAGGUACCACAAGAUGGAUGAGCUGAUCUAAUAGCCUGCUGAUACUUCCUGGCCAUGUGUUCCUGCUGUUCCGCUUGCUUCAGCUUGGGUGCUUGUGCUAAAAUGGGAGCAAACCACACCAAGCAAAGCAAACGCAGCGAAGGCAACCUGAGCCGUCUGGCGAGGAUGAACGCGGGGACCAGAUGCUAUGGCAGAAAGAGGGUCCCCUUGUAGGGUGGCCAUACUCACCUGGCUGGGAUCCUUGGCAUGCUCCUGGUGUAAGAUGUUGCCCUUAAUUGAGAGUAAAAAUUGCUGAAUGCUGGUAUUGCUGUGACUUGCCUCAGUCCUUUUGACAGCAGCAGCACUGCUGUUUGGUGCUGUGCUCCUGUCCCUCCCAGGGACCUGUAAUUGUGCAGACUGUCAAGGGACCAGAAGAAUUGGAUCAGCCAGCAGUGCUGCUGGGCUAGGACCAUGG
rnacentral:lncRNA from 1 species